GAGACCCGGGGGGGAUGGGCCCCAGGAGUCCACACCUUCAACCUCUUCCCUGGGGGAUCCUUUCCUUUCUCUUAUUUUCUUCUUAUUACUUUUGCACAGUCAGGCUUAGGAGUGUCUGCUCCUCGGAGGAAAGCAGGGAAGAGGAAGCCGGCUCAGUACCUGCCGUCUGGCCGCCCGAGGCGGGGGAGGUGGCGCAGGCUGGGGCAGCCCGGCCGAGCGAAGGCUCCUUCCGGGGCCGGGCCGGGAAGGGGGGCUGGGAGGUUUCUUGGAGGAGGUAGAGCUGCAUUCCUCUCAUGCCUUAAGCAUGAAUUUCUAAGGGUAGAAUUUCAAGGGUGGUAAAUGGAGAGGGCUGGAGGAGCUUUAUUUGUCUAUUUAUUUAUUUCCCCUAAUCCGCUUGCAGGGCUAAUCAGCUCCCCCCCGGGGCAGCCUCCGACGGGCUUCUCUCACUGCUCAGCCUGGGCUGGAGGGACCCGUGAGGGACGCACACCGUCUCGCAGGGAAGCUGAGCAGAGGAGAGGGAAGCUGUGGGGGUGGCUUUCAGUCCCGGGAGGGCUCCUGGAGUUCCUGCUCCAAGUCCGGGGAUCUGACCUGGCUGUCCCUAGGCCUGUGGAGACCCCAGGAAUGGGAAUGAAAGAGACUGGGGUCCAAAUGGCCCCCAGGCCUGACCAAUGCAUCCCUGGGGGCCAGAUACAAGGGGAGCUGCCACAGCUCAGGAGAGCGCAGGACCAUCCCUGGAACAGGCUCCAGCUUCUCCAUAGCAGCUCUGAGAGGAAUAUGUGGCCUCUUAGGCCGAUCAGCCUGAGCCAAGGCACCUUCCUUAGGUGUGGAGUGUCCUAGUCAACACAUGCUCGUGCAUUCAUUCAUUCAUUCAUUCAUUGAACACCUGCUAUGUGCCAGGCACUGGGCUGGGCUCUGCAGGUUAGCUGUGAACAAAGCAGCUGAGGCCCUGCUGUCGUGGAGUUUACAUACAGGAGGGGGAUGGACAACAAAACAUAACAAAUUAAUGUGUAACCUGGUUAUCAUCCUAUAACCCUGUUAGACGUCACAUGUAAUGGUGUCAGGCGAGAAUAUGAAGCGAGGUAAGGGGAGAGAGUGCUUGGGAUGGAAAGAGGUGAGCUAUUUCUGCUCGGAGGUCGGGGAAGCCCUCUGAAGAGAAGACAUUGAACAGAGGCCUAAAGGAAGGAAGGAACUGGAACAGGCAGAUUUGGGGGGAGGAACAGCAGGAGGCCACGGAGGUUUGGGGCCAAGGAGUGACAAGACCUGGCUUCGGUUUACAAAGAUCAUUCUGGCUGCUGCCUAGAGAAUGGAAGGCUGGCAGGGAGAGCCUACCGGGAGGCCACUGCAGCAGGCCAGGGAGAGAGAGGUGAGAACGGGGGACUAGCUUUGGAGACAGCGAGAAGCAAUGGAUUUGAAAGCUGCUGAUGUGUUUUGAAAAUGGAACUGACGGGAUUUGACACCAGAAUGGAGGUGGGUGUGAGGAAUGAGGAGGCAAGGGGGAUUCCGAGAUUUGCCAACUGAGCAUCUAAGUCGAUGGAGCUGGUGAGGGGAAGUUACGAAUUCUGUUUGGGACAUGUGAAGUUUGAGGUGACCAUUAGGCACCCUGGUGGAGAUGUUGCUGUGCACUUGCAGACGUGAGGCCGUGACUCUGGACUCGGGGUGGGGGUCGGGAGCUGGAGACACGCAUUUCCUUGGCUUGGAGAUGGAACUGACAGCUGUGGGAGAGAUGCGACCCCUGGAGAAACUUAAAAUGGAGGGCAAGGGGAGUGAGCACCGAGCCCUGGGCCUCACCAUGGAGAGGUCUGGAAGAGGAGGCUGAACCAGCCGGGAGACUCCGAAAGAGGGGCCAGCGAGGUAAGAGUGAAACAGGUGAGUGGGCUGGCCUAACUCAGGUGAACGGUCAGACCCAGGAAGAGGACUCUACUGUGCCAAAAGCUGCCAUCAGAGGAAGAUAGGGGCUGACUCUGGAAUGCUUAGAUUGGCAGGUAGGAGGUCCUGGGCGACCUCGACAAGAGAGCUUCAGCAGGGUGGUGGGAACCUGGGCCUGGUAAGAGUGAGUAUAGGAGUGAACGGGAUGGAAGGAGAAGGAGGCGCCCUGGCCAGCUGAUCUGUUUGAGGGAUUUCGCUCUACAGGGAACAGAGAAAUGGAGCCAGAGAGCUAACUGGUGGGAUCUGCAAGGAGACUCCGGAUGGCUCCUGCAGAGCAGAGAGACAUGGCCCGCAGUGCGAGUCAGGAGGCCGGCCUGUCUUCCCUGAGAUUGGAAGGAAAGAGGGAAAAAAGGGUAAAUACGUAGAUAACUCUAAAGGAAACGGAGGGCUUCUGCCAGUGUUCUUUCUCUGUGGCCUGAAAUUUCACCAUCGCUGGUUUUGGAAGCCUGACUUGUAGCAACCAAAGAAAACGAUCUUACCUAAAGUGCCACCCCCUUAUUUCCAGCCAGGAGCACAACGGAGGUGAAGGCUGGUCGAGCAAGGUCCCAAGAGAAAGGAUGCACUCUAGUUAGAGCCCCUUUUGCCUAAGGCUGGAUCUGCCUGGGCGGGUGUGGUCAGAAAAGCUGGCCUGGCUGGGGCAUUGAGUGCAGACCGGACCUCCGCAAACAGUCUGCAGCCUUGUGACCCGGGACUUUACUUACCCACCAGCUGGGGGCUGGUGAUGCGGUGUCUUCCCACAGGGCUCCUUGCACCCCUACCUGUGAGGCAGUGAGGGUGAUCUUUGCAUCCAGGAAAAAGACGUACCAGUUAGGAUGCCUCAAGCCAAUAUAAGUGAUGCUUGCUACUCCAAGUGUGCUCUGAACCAGCAGCAGCAGCAACUGGGAUCUUGCUAAAAAUACAGAAUCUCAGGGGCUGGCCCCGUGGCCAAGUGGUUGAGUUCGCGUGCUCCGCUGCAGGCGGCCCAGUGUUUCGUUGGUUUGAAUCCUGGGCGCGGACAUGGCACUGCUCAUCAGACCACGCUGAGGCGGCGUCCCACAUGCCACAACUAGAAGAACCCACAACGAAGAAUACACAACUAUGUACCGGGGGGCUUUGGGGAGAAAAAGGAAAAAAUAAAAUCUUUUAAAAAAAAAAAAAAUACAGAAUCUCAGACCUGCUGACUCAGUCUUAGUUUAACAAAAUUCCCAGGUGAUUCUAAUGUGCUAACUUAAUCACUAAUCUUGAGAACCACUAACUUAAACCGUAAAGAUAUUUGUUCUGGGAGUUAGAUUCCAGGGUAGUUCCAGGGUAGGUUCAGCAGCCCCUGAGGUAAUUGAUGACUAACCAUUAUCAGAGGUUUUUUUAAUCCUUAGGCUUGUUGCCUCUUGGUUCUAAAAUAGCUGCCACAGCUCCUGGAAUCUCACACCAAUGUGACAAGGUUCAAAGUUGGGAGUGGGUGCAAGACCAAGCUGAUAUGGGCUAGUUUUGUGACUUCCCUCUUUUUGUCAAGCAGGGGAAAAACUUUCCCAGAUCCCUGCAACAAAUGUCUCUUUGGUUUUGUCAGGCAAAGACAGGUCACCCGUAGCUGCUAGGGAGUCUAGGAAGGUGAAUUUUUGGCUUUUUCUUUGUUCAUAGUAGGAAGUAGAAAAUGGAGAAGGGAGUUAGAAAGGGCCACUGAGUAGCCAGUCAUCAGUGUGAGCCAUUAAAGGCCCACAUGAAAUAUAAAUGCACGUGUGCCAACUUAUCACACUGAUUAAUUAAAAUUAUAAUUAUGUAACGAGCAAAAGCAGGCAAGAUCACAGUCUUCCAUUAAUUUUCUGUUUUUAAUUUGAUCAAUUAAUUGGUCAUUUUUUUUCUGUUUAAUUGAUUUGCUUUACAUUUGUCCAGAUCAAAAAUCAAAAGGUUUUCUUUAAAAUACAAGCUCUUUGAAGGCAGAAAUUCCCGUCUGCUUGUAAACUUUGCGUAGCGUUUUUAGCUCAGUGUGACGAAUUCAGUCAAAAUAUAGGUGAAGAGACUAAGAAAUGACCACGUUUCUUAGUGCUCCGCAAACUAUAAAUGUGCUGUCCCCAGCUGCUCCUGGAAAAGCCCUUAGAAUUUUACGUACCCUCUAACACAGAAAUUCUACUUCUGGGGAUUAAUCCUAAGGAAAUAACCACGUACACAUUUUGGAAGUAAUCAUCGACAAGCUGCUUAUAAAGACUGAGAACAACCUGAAUCCCCAGUGACAGGGCGUUGGUUGGAUGAUACAGCCAUGUAAUGGGAUACUAAACAGCCAUAAAAAUUGACAGCCUGAGGUGGUAUUUGAUGGCAUGGGAAUAGGUUCACAAUUUUUUUUUUUUUGAGGAAGAUCAGCCCUGAGCUAACAUCUGCUGCCAAUCCUCCUCUGUUUGCUGAGGAAGACUGGCCCUGAGCUAACAUCCGUGCCCAUCUUCCUCUACUUUAUAUGUGGGAUGCCUACCACAGCAUGGCGUGCCAAGUGGUGCCAUGUCUGUACCCGGGAUCCAAAUCGGGGAACCCCAGGCCACCCAAGCAGAACGUGCGCACUUAACCGCUGCACCACCAGGCCGGCCCGUUCACAAUAUAUUAAGUGAAAAAAGUAGCUUAUAAAGCAGCAUAUAGUAUAAUCACAUUUUAAUUUUUAAAUUAAAUUUAAUUAAAUUUUUAUUGAGGUAUAGUUGACAUACAAUAUUAUGUUAGUUUCAGGUGUACAACAGAGCGAUCAAUAGUUAUGUACAUUACAGAAUGAUCCCCACAAGUCUAGUAAUCAUCUGUCACCACACAGUUGUUACAAGAUUAUUGACUAUAUUCCCUGUGCUGCACUUUACAACCCUGUGACUUAUUUAUUUUAUAGCUGGAAGUUUGUACCUCUUAGUCCCCUCACUUAUUUCACCCCUCCCCUGCCCUUGCAACCACCAGUUUGUUCUUUGUAUCUAUGAGUUUCUUUCUAUUUUAUUUUUUUCAUUUUUAGAUUCCACAUAUAAGUGAAAUUAUACAGUGUUUGUCUCUCUCUGUUUGACUUAUUUCACUGAGUGUAAUACCCUCUAGGUCCACCCAGGUUGUUUCAAAAGGCAAGAUUUCAUUCUUUUUUAUGGCUGAGUAAUAUUCCAUUGUAUAUAUAUACAUAUAUAUAUAUAUGUAUAUAUAUACCACAUCUUCUUUGUCCAAUCAUCCAUCAAUGGACACUUUUCCAUAUCUUGGCUAUUGCAGAUAAUGCUGCAGUGAACAUAGGGGUGCAUGUCUCUUUCCGAAUUAGUGUUUUCAUUUUCUAUGGAUAAAUACCCAGAAGUGAAAUAGCUGCAUUGUAUGGUAGUUCAAUUUCUAGUUUUCUGAGAAAUCUCCAUACUGUUUUCCAUAGUGGCUGCACCAAUUUACGUUCCCACCAACAGAGUACAGGGGUUCUCUCUCUUUUCUCCACAUCCUUGCCAACACUUGUUAUUUGUUGUCUUUUUGAUAAGAGCUAUUCUGACAGGUGCGAG
rnacentral:lncRNA from 1 species